ACCUACUCAGACCCUCAGCGGCACAGAGCAGGCCUUGCAGAAAUCUUCAUAUCUCCUAGCUCCUGGGAACACAGCGCAGUUCUGGAGGCACACGUCACUGUGCCCAUUUUGCAGAAGGAGAAACUGAGGUUCCCUGAGGUGCAGCUACCCCUCUUCUGGAGAUGAGGAAAGGGAGUACUCUGCCUUGGGUUACAGUUCAGCAGUAACAUGCUGGGACUCCGAAGUGGUUGGGUACAGGGAUGCCCCCUAUAUAGGGUGUGACAUUCAUGCAAUUCUGGGCAUCACGAUAAGCCAUGUAAUCAUGAGGAGAGACAAAAUAUGGUGUCCUGUGUUGCUAAGCUAGGAUGUUCAGUGGAUCAGGCAUGUCAAAGGUGUUUUUGACUUGGAUGUUUUCACCUUGCAAUGGUUUAUGAGAUGCAACCCUGCCAUCAGUGGAGAUCUAUACCUCCAUCUGGGGAGCGGUAGGUACAUUGUGGAGUCUGUCUCAUGGGUCCUAUGAAGAUUUACUGAGCUGGGCGAUUGUAUAGGUGCCCAGCACAGCCCUGGGGCAUAG